UGAGGAAUAUUGGUCAAUGGGCGAGAGCCUGAACCAGCCAAGUAGCGUGCAGGAUGACGGCCCUAUGGGUUGUAAACUGCUUUUACGCGGGGAUAAAGUGCGUGACGUGUCGCGCAUCGCAGGUACCGCGUGAAUAAGGACCGGCUAAUUCCGUGCCAGCAGCCGCGGUAAUACGGAAGGUCCGGGCGUUAUCCGGAUCUAUUGGGUUUAAAGGGAGCGCAGGCCGCCCGAUAAGCGUGUUGUGAAAUGUACCGGCUCAACCGGUGAGUUGCAGCGCGAACUGUCAGGCUUGAGUGCACGGUAAGCAGGCGGAAUUCAUGGUGUAGCGGUGAAAUGCUUAGAUAUCAUGAGGAACUCCGAUUGCGAAGGCAGCUUGCUGCAGGGCGACUGACGCUUAGGCUCGAAGGUGCGGGUAUCAAACAGG
rnacentral:rRNA from 1 species